UACGUAGGUGGCAAGCGUUGUCCGGAAUUAUUGGGCGUAAAGCGCGCGCAGGCGGUCUUUUAAGUCUGAUGUGAAAGCCCACGGCUCAACCGUGGAGGGUCAUUGGAAACUGGGGGGCUUGAGUGCAGGAGAGAAGAGUGGAAUUCCACGUGUAGCGGUGAAAUGCGUAGAGAUGUGGAGGAACACCAGUGGCGAAGGCGACUCUUUGGCCUGUAACUGACGCUGAGGCGCGAAAGCGUGGGGAGCAAACAGG
rnacentral:rRNA from 1 species